rfam:Aedes aegypti strain Liverpool supercont1.727 genomic scaffold, whole genome shotgun sequence.
UGCCCAGCAAUUUCUAUCCCUACCUCCUCGUGGUACUGGCCGGUGUACGAGUAACCUUAGGGAAGAUCAGGUAGCCAACCCCGGUGGGAACUCUGGUCGUAUGCUGACAGGGAAGG